GGAGAUGUAGCUCAGUGGUAGAGCGCUUGCCUAGCAUGUGUGAGGCAAUGAAUUCGAUCUUCAGCAUCACAU
rnacentral:tRNA from 1 species